rnacentral:rRNA from 1 species
GGGCCAGCAGACCGAGGUAAAAGAGGCAGCGCGAGUGGUAGCCGCGGGUAUUGGGCCUAAAGCGUCCGUAGCCGGUCCGAUAAGUCUCUGGUGAAAGCCCACAGCUUAACUGUGGGAAUCGCUGGAGAUACUAUCGGACUUGAGGCCGGGAGAGGCUGGAGGUACUCCCAGGGUAGGGGUGAAAUCCUAUAAUCCUGGGAGGACCACCUGUGGCGAAGGCGUCCAGCUGGAACGGACCUGACGGUGAGGGACGAAAGCCAGGGGCGCGAACCGGAUUAGAUACCCGGGUAGUCCUGGCCGUAAACGAUGCGGACUUGGUGUUGGGACGGCUUUGAGCGGUCCCAGUGCCGAAGGGAAGCUGUUAAGUCCGCCGCCUGGGAAGUACGGCCGCAAGGUUGAAACUCAAAUGAAUUGGCGG